rnacentral:rRNA from 1 species
GAUGAACGCUGGCGGCGUGCCUAAUACAUGCAAGUCGAGCGAACGGACGAGAAGCUUGCUUCUCUGAUGUUAGCGGCGGACGGGUGAGUAACACGUGGAUAACCUACCUAUAAGACUGGGAUAACUUCGGGAAACCGGAGCUAAUACCGGAUAAUAUUUUGAACCGCAUGGUUCAAAAGUGAAAGACGGUCUUUCUGUCACUUAUAGAUGGAUCCGCACUGCAUUAGCUAGUUGGUAAGGUAACGGCUUACCAAGGCAACUAUUCAUAGCCGACCUGAGAGGGUGAUCGGCCACACUAGAACUAUGACACGGUCCAGACUCCUACGGGAGGCAGCAGGAGGGAAUCUUCCGCAAUGGGCGAAAGCCUGACGGAGCAACGCCGCGUGAGUGAUGAAGGUCUUCGGAUCGUAAAACUCUGUUAUUAGGGAAGAACAUAUGUGUAAGUAACUGUGCACAUCUUGACGGUACCUAAUCAGAAAGCCACGGCUAACUACGUG